rnacentral:rRNA from 1 species
GAUGAACGCUAGCGGCAGGCCUAACACAUGCAAGUCGAGGGGUAGGGUUAGCUUGCUAACUUGAGACCGGCGCACGGGUGCGUAACGCGUAUGCAAUCUACCUUGUACAGAGGGAUAGCCCAGAGAAAUUUGGAUUAAUACCUCAUAGUAUCUUUACCUGGCAUCGGGUAAUUAUUAAAGUUCCAACGGUACAAGAUGAGCAUGCGUCCCAUUAGUUAGUUGGUAAGGUAACGGCUUACCAAGACAAUGAUGGGUAGGGGUCCUGAGAGGGAGAUCCCCCACACUGGUACUGAGACACGGACCAGACUCCUACGGGAGGCAGCAGUGAGGAAUAUUGGUCAAUGGACGCAAGUCUGAACCAGCCAUGCCGCGUGCAGGAAGACGGUCCUAUGGAUUGUAAACUGCUUUUAUACAGGAAGAAACAACUCUACGUGUAGAGUCUUGACGGUACUGUAGGAAUAAGGAUCGGCUAACUCCGUGCCAGCAGCCGCGGU